UGGAUUAGUGGCGAACGGGUGAGUAACACGUGGGCAAUCUGCCCUUCACUCUGGGACAAGCCCUGGAAACGGGGUCUAAUACCGGAUAACACUCUGUCCCGCAUGGGACGGGGUUGAAAGCUCCGGCGGUGAAGGAUGAGCCCGCGGCCUAUCAGCUUGUUGGUGGGGUAAUGGCCUACCAAGGCGACGACGGGUAGCCGGCCUGAGAGGGCGACCGGCCACACUGGGACUGAGACACGGCCCAGACUCCUACGGGAGGCAGCAGUGGGGAAUAUUGCACAAUGGGCGAAAGCCUGAUGCAGCGACGCCGCGUGAGGGAUGACGGCCUUCGGGUUGUAAACCUCUUUCAGCAGGGAAGAAGCGAAAGUGACGGUACCUGCAGAAGAAGCGCCGGCUAACUACGUGCCAGCAGCCGCGGUAAUACGUAGGGCGCAAGCGUUGUCCGGAAUUAUUGGGCGUAAAGAGCUCGUAGGCGGCUUGUCACGUCGGAUGUGAAAGCCCGGGGCUUAACCCCGGGUCUGCAUUCGAUACGGGCUAGCUAGAGUGUGGUAGGGGAGAUCGGAAUUCCUGGUGUAGCGGUGAAAUGCGCAGAUAUCAGGAGGAACACCGGUGGCGAAGGCGGAUCUCUG
rnacentral:rRNA from 1 species